UACGGAGGGGGCUAGCGUUGUUCGGAAUUACUGGGCGUAAAGCGCACGUAGGCGGCUUUGUAAGUUAGAGGUGAAAGCCCGGGGCUCAACUCCGGAAUUGCCUUUAAGACUGCAUCGCUAGAAUUGUGGAGAGGUAAGUGGAAUUCCGAGUGUAGAGGUGAAAUUCGUAGAUAUCGGGAGGAACACCAAUGGCGAAGGCAGCUCGCUGGGACGGUACUGACGCUGAGACGCGAAAGCGUGGGGAGCAAACAGG
rnacentral:rRNA from 1 species